GACGAACGCUGGCGGCGUGCCUAAUACAUGCAAGUCGAGCGAAGUUUUUCUGGUGCUUGCACUAGAAAAACUUAGCGGCGAACGGGUGAGUAACACGUAAAGAACCUGCCUCAUAGACGGGGACAACUAUUGGAAACGAUAGCUAAUACCGGAUAACAGCAUAAAUCGCAUGAUAUAUGUUUAAAAGUUGGUUUCGGCUAACACUAUGAGAUGGCUUUGCGGUGCAUUAGCUAGUUGGUGGGGUAAAGGCCUACCAAGGCGACGAUGCAUAGCCGACCUGAGAGGGUGAUCGGCCACACUGGGACUGAGACACGGCCCAGACUCCUACGGGAGGCAGCAGUAGGGAAUCUUCCGCA
rnacentral:rRNA from 1 species